GGGCUUCCAGCUCAUGCUUGGAGCAGUGGACUCAUAAUCCGUCGGUGCCGUGUUCGACUCACGGGAGGCCCACCA
rnacentral:tRNA from 1 species